UGGUUUGACUGCCCCGCCCAGACUAAGCGGUGCUCCAUGCCAUUGGUGUUUUCCUACAGGAGGUCCAGAUAGAUAAGCAAUUGGAAGCCGGCCUUCGUGUCACCGUGCGCCUGGGGAAAAAGCAGAACGCAGAGAACAAAACGCAGAAGGGUGUUGUCGUAUCGUCACAAAAUCCCCGCACCGUCUCUGGCUUUUACUGGGGCUACAGCGUCCGAUUAGCUUCGUGUCUGAGCGCCGUCUUUGCCGAAUCCCCUUUUAAGGAUGGCUACGAUCUCUCCAUUGGAACCUCGGAGCGUGGAUCCUCCGUAGAUGAAGCCGCUCUACCUGCCUUCAGGUAGCCACCGUGGAUUUUCCGGGUUACGUUUUAUGCUAAACCUGUUGCAAGAAUUAGGAACGUCCGGCCUAAAAAAAGAAAAUUACUAAGAGAAACGAGAUAGCAGUCUUCCAAUAUUUGAGGGGCUGCCUCAAAGAAGAGGCGCGGGGGUCAACUUAAUUUUCCA